UUCGGCCUUAGUGGCGCACGGGUGAGUAACACGUGGGAAUAUACCUUUCAGUGGGGGAUAACGUCGGGAAACUGACGCUAAUACCGCAUACGCCCCUUGGGGGAAAGAUUUAUCGCUGAAAGAUUAGCCCGCGUCCGAUUAGCUAGUUGGUGAGGUAACGGCUCACCAAGGCGACGAUCGGUAGCUGGUCUGAGAGGAUGAUCAGCCACACUGGGACUGAGACACGGCCCAGACUCCUACGGGAGGCAGCAGUGGGGAAUAUUGGACAAUGGGGGCAACCCUGAUCCAGCCAUGCCGCGUGAGUGAUGAAGGCCUUAGGGUUGUAAAGCUCUUUCACCCACGACGAUGAUGACGGUAGUGGGAGAAGAAGCCCCGGCUAACUUCGUGCCAGCAGCCGCGGUAAUACGAAGGGGGCUAGCGUUGUUCGGAAUUACUGGGCGUAAAGCGCACGCAGGCGGUGACCAUAG
rnacentral:rRNA from 1 species